UACGUAGGGGGCAAGCGUUGUCCGGAUUUAUUGGGCGUAAAGAGCGUGUAGGCGGCCUGAAAGGUCAGCUGUGAAAACUCGAGGCUCAACCUCGAGACGUCGGUUGAAACCAUCUGGCUAGAGUCCGGAAGAGGAGUGUGGAAUUCCCGGUGUAGCGGUGAAAUGCGCAGAUAUCGGGAAGAACACCGGUGGCGAAGGCGGGGUCUCUGGGCAGUAACUGACGCUGAGAAGCGAAAGCGUGGGUAGCGAACAGA
rnacentral:rRNA from 1 species